GAUGAACGCUGGCGGCGUGCCUAAUACAUGCAAGUCGAGCGAACAGACGAGGAGCUUGCUCCUCUGACGUUAGCGGCGGACGGGUGGGUAACACGUGGAUAACCUACCUAUAAGACUGGGAUAACUUCGGGAAACCGGAGCUAAUACCGGAUAAUAUAUUGAACCGCAUGGUUCAAUAGUGAAAGACGGUUUUGCUGUCACUUAUAGAUGGAUCCGCGCCGCAUUAGCUAGUUGGUAAGGUAACGGCUUACCAAGGCAACGAUGCGUAGCCGACCUGAGAGGGUGAUCGCCCACCCUGGAACUGAGACACGGUCCAGACGCCUACGGGAGGCAGCAGUAGGGAAUCUUCCGCAAUGGGCGAAAGCCUGACGGAGCAACGCCGCGUGAGUGAUGAAGGUCUUCGGAUCGUAAAACUCUGUUAUUAGGGAAGAACAAAUGUGUAAGUAACUAUGCACGUCUUGACGGUACCUAAUCAGAAAGCCACGGCUAACUACGUG
rnacentral:rRNA from 1 species